rnacentral:rRNA from 1 species
UACGAAGGGGGCUAGCGUUGCUCGGAAUCACUGGGCGUAAAGCGCACGUAGGCGGAUCUUUAAGUCGGGGGUGAAAUCCUGGAGCUCAACUCCAGAACUGCCUUCGAUACUGAGGGUCUCGAGUCCGGGAGAGGUGAGUGGAACUCCGAGUGUAGAGGUGAAAUUCGUAGAUAUUCGGAAGAACACCAGUGGCGAAGGCGGCUCACUGGCCCGGUACUGACGCUGAGGUGCGAAAGCGUGGGGAGCAAACAGGG